rnacentral:rRNA from 1 species
AUUGAACGAUGGCGGCAGGCCUAACACAUGCAAGUCGAAAGAGAGGCGGACGGGGGAGUAAUGUCCGGGAAACUGCCCGAUGAAGGGGGAUAACUACUGGACACGGUAGCUAAUACCGCAUACCAUCGGAUGUGCCCAGAUGGGAUUAGCUUGUAGGUGAGGUAACGGCUCACCUAGGCGACGAUCCCUAGCUGGUCUGAGAGGAUGACCAGCCACGCUGUAACUGAUACACGGUCCUGGCUCCUACGGGAGGCAGCAGGGGUGAAUAUUGCGCAAUGGUCGCAAGCCUGAUGCAGCCAUGCCGCGUGUAUGAAGAAGGCCUUCGGGUUGUAAAGUACUUUCAGCGAGGAGGCGUUACCCGCAGAAGAAGCACCGGCUAACUCCGUGCCAGCCGCCGCGGUAAUUC